rnacentral:lncRNA from 1 species
AAGAAUAAAUAUAAUAACUAGAUUUGUAAUUGCUAGCAAUAACGGAUGGCACCCUUCCCCAAUUGCCAGGUGAGCGGCAGCCAUUUUGAAAAAUCCAAAGUCAAAGAUAACAUUUACACAUGCCAAUAAACAUUUUUGUAAAGUUUCGUCAAUUUUGGAGCAUUUUGAAAUUUUUGAAAUUUUUGAAAUUUCCAUGGUAACGGGUACCAUUUCCAAAAUUCCAAAGAUAGGUGCCACUUUGGGACAUGCCGUGUAACAUAUUCAUUAAGUUGUAGAAGGUUUGAUCAAAUAUUCUUGCAGGAAAUGCAACUUCAAUAGGAUUUCCCAUUGGGCCAAUGUUAAACUUUCGCCCUGUUUCCAUGACAAUGGUGGCCAUUUUGGAAUUUCCUAAUAUUGUCACAACAUCUAGGCAUACCAAGGAACAUUACCAUAAAAUUUCAUCCAGCUAGGUCUUAUAAUGAAAGAUUUAGAAAUUGCAUUUUUUUUCAUAUUUUGUCAGUUUCCAUGACAACGGCAGCCAUCUUGAUGAUGCCAUACCCCGAUUGCACAAUUUCAUUUAGUGGUCUACAUUAUGGUAUAGUUCCAUCAAUAUUGUUCAAGCCAAUUCUGAGAAAUAGCAUGGACAAAAUGUGUGGAAGAAUAAAUAAAAUAAUAAGAAAAAAAGAAACGUAGAAUAACAAUAUGUCAC